GUAAGACCCUUUGCUUAGCUACUGAACUUCGUGUGUGCGGUCUUAUAGCUGGAGGAGUGGCUGGAAUCCUAACAAGCAGCACACAGAGCAGAAACCUGAGAAAAUGGCACUGAGUAAAAGAGAGGCAGCCUGGCUGUGAGGACCUCCACACAUGGAAGGCUGAGGCAGGAGGAUCAAAAGUUCUGAGACCAGCCUGGUUACAGACAUGAUAAGUCCAGCCUGGGCUACACAGUCACUGUAGAGAGACAAGAGGUGGGAGGGAGCUGAACUGAACAGUCACAUCUAUCCUGUGGCCACAGUAAAGGAAGAAACAGAUGGCAUGGGACUCAAAGGACCAGGCCUGCUCCCAGGGAAACUGAGGCCCAGAAAGGAAGCUAUCUACCCAUGACCUCAAGACAAGGCAAGUUUCCUGAAUAUUCUCCUUGGUCAGUGUGGCCCAAAUUGUUUUGUUCAUCUUUCGAGACUCAGACUGGCUCUUCAUUCAUGCAUCCAUCCAUUCAUUCAUACAUGUAUACAUACAUACAUACAUACAUGUAUCCAUCCACCCACCUACCCACCCACCCAUCCAUGCAUUCAUUCAUUCAUCCAUGCAUCCAUCCAUUCAUUUUAUUCAUGCUCCUGGACUCCUUGGUAGUUGGGUCAGGAGUCUGCCAGGAGAACUCUUUAUUCUCACUGAACUGAAACCACAUCAGCACAGGGAGCAUCCAUGCUCACAGCCCAGUCUUCCCUGGGCAGCCCAGCCCCCUUCAAUCUUAAAAAUACCUGUUAUGGGCCAUUUGCCUGACCCUUUUUCUGCACUCCUAGUGAAAUACAAUGGUCCCCACAGGUUGCCUGUUUGAACAACUGGCCCCCAGCUGUCGGUGGCUCUGUUUAGAAGGUUGUGGAACCUUUAGAGGGUGGAGCCUCGAUAGAGAAAACGGAUCCCUGGGGAUCAGGUGUUGACGCCUCAUAGCCCAUCCCCUCUUCCUGUUCCCUUUCUGCUCCCUGAGUGUGGAAACAAUGUCACCAGCCAGCCUUCUGCCUCUGCCACCACGCUUCCCUGUGGCCUCCUUCCAUGUCCUCCCUUGCCAUGAGGGACCACUCUCAGGAAUCAUAAACUGGGAUAA